UUGAAUGGCCGCGGUAUUUUGACCGUGCUAAGGUAGCAUAAUCAUUAGUUUUUUAAUUGAAAGCUGGAAUGAAGGGCUGAAUGAAAAAAAGACUGUCUCUAUUUAAUUAAUAUAGAAUUUUAUUUUUAAGUUAAAAAGCUUAAAUAUAAUUAAAAGACGAGAAGACCCUAUAGAGUUUUAUAAUUUUAUUUAUAUAAAAAUAUAGAAUUUAUAUAUUUAUAUUUAAAAAAUUAUUGAAUUGGGGUGAUUAAAAAAUUUAGUAAACUUUUUUUAUAUAAAAAUAUUUAUUUAUAAAUAAUUGAUCCAAAAUAAUUUUGAUUAAAAGAUUAAAUUACCUUAGGGAUAACAGCGUAAUUUUAUUAGAGAGUU
rnacentral:rRNA from 2 species